UGACUAGCUAAUCCUUUUAUUUGGGAUGGCUGCUGGAUCAAUGUGGAAUAUUAUAUGAAUAGCAAUGUCAUAAAUGUUAUCUCCCUUCAUCUUGAUAGCAAAGAGUAUUGUGGACAUCCCAUUAACAGCUUGCAUGCAUCAGUGUGUGUGACCUGUGGGCACAGAACGGGUGACACUGAGGGACGGGCUGGAGACCCUUUCAACGUUAUCAGCACAACCCAGACUCUAGUGCUGUAAGGAAAAUGUGGAAUAUUCCACAAGUCAACAGGAAGUUGCGUCAUCUGAAUUUCCUGAGGAUUGUGGUAAGAAGAAAACUAACAGCGUAGCCCAUGGCUGUACAUCCAUUUGGCACAGAAACAAAGGAAGGAUGCGGUGAAUCACUUAACACCCUGGGGCUCUCUCUCUCUCUUUCUUUCUCUCUCACUCCUUUAUAUAACUCUAUAUAGUGAUCAGAAUUUAUAUGAUGAUCUAUAUGAUAUUCAGCCGGCUGUGUUGAAGCCCAGACAAAGCGAGCAACACUACCGCAUAGUGAUGAGAUGGUGGACACACAACCUGGAGCUGUGUGUGGAUGUGCAGGAAGGUUGUGAGGGUACUGGGGAUUUCACAAAGGAAGAGAAACCAAGACCUG
ensembl:lncRNA